rnacentral:misc_RNA from 1 species
CAUCAUCUUUUCUUAAAACCAUAUUUCUUGCGUUCAUAAAACAAAUCUGUUUUGGCACUCCCUAAAUUAACAAUUUUUGGACACCCAUCUCUAUCUUUCUCCUGCUGUGUACACUCUUUGCAAUAGUAGGCAUCUGAGAUGCCAACCCCUCCACAUAUAACACAUCGACCUUGGAAGGAUCCAUAAUUGCACUCGUCACAAAUUCGCACAAGCGUGCAAGGACGUACAUAGGAAUCACAUAUCACACACUUCCCAUCAUCUUUCUCACACAGUCGUCCUAUGGCAAUUCCUGGCUGCUUCCGGCACAUUAUCAAAUCAGGAUGAUGCUUGGCCAUCCUUCAAGGUCCUAAUUUCU